GUGAAUGUAAUUCUUACCUGAUAAUUGUUCUUAGUGUAUAUAGUUUCCCUGUGUUAGAGUUAAACCAUUUCUUUUUAUUUAUACAAAAGGGGGAAAUAUUGUGGAAUAUUCCUUUACAAAGUGUGAAGAUGUGUCACUGUGAUUUGUUCAAUAAAAAGCUAAAUGGCCAAUAGCUAUGCAGGAGUUAUAGCCGGGACUUCUGGCCAGAGUGAUCACUGGAAAGAAGAAAAGUAGAGUCACCAGCCAAUUGUAGAAGAAGUGCAGAAUAAAGCUGGUAGCCCAAAGAAAAAUCUGUUUAUACCAGUGGAAACUCCUACUAACACAGGACACAGAGCGGAACCAACUGUUUUCUGAAACCAGACAAGGCUUCCAGUGGGGACUGGGACAUCAAACCAGACAGGCUUCCUCUGGCAUCUGUUCGGAGUAGAUGCAGAGACCCACAGCCAAACAUGGGGUAACCCCAUGGAAGAAGGAUUGUAGGAGCCAGAAGCAUGGAUGGCACCAUAAGAAAACCCACAGAACCAAUUAAACAGAGCUCACAGAGACUGAAGGGAGCCUGCAUGGGUCUGUACUAGGUCCUCUGCAUACACGCUAUUGUUCUUUAGUUUGUGGUUUUUGUGGGACUCCUAACAAUGGGAGUAGGGGUAUCUAUCUCUGAUUCUUUUAUGUGCCCUUGGGACUCCUUUCCUCCUCCUGCAUUGCCUUAUCCAGCCAUGAUAUGAGUCUUAUUGUGACUUGUUACGCUGUGUUCAUUUGCUAUCACUGGCAGGCCUGUUCUUUUCUGAAGGGAAACAGAGGAGGAGUGAAUCUUGGGGAGA